rnacentral:lncRNA from 1 species
UCGAUUAAUCAUAUAUUUUUGCUUAUAUUAUGAGAUAGCUUUGUUUAAAUUUAAUAUUACUGAAAAAUAUAUAUUUAGUGUCACAAACAUAUAGCUAUAAACAUAAAGAUUGAAAUACUUAAUUUGCAUUAACAGAAUUACUGAAUUGAAAUAAUUUAAAUACCUAUUAAUUUUAACCAAAAGAAAUUUGUUUUAUAUAAUAUUAAUAAUAGGCUUGGCCACAUUCUUUUAGCAUUAUAAUUGUUAAAUUGUAUUAUUA